CCUAGCCUUAAGGAUGGGGAUAACAGACGGAAACGACUGCUAAUACCGAAUACAUUCUAAGCAUCGCAUGAUGCAUAGAAGAAAGGGUGGCCUCUACAAGAAAGCUAUCGCCUUAAGAGGGGUUUGCGACUGAUUAGGUAGUUGGUGAGGUAACGGCUCACCAAGCCGACGAUCAGUAGCCGGUCUGAGAGGAUGAACGGCCACACUGGAACUGAGACACGGUCCAG
rnacentral:rRNA from 1 species